UUAUUUAACUCUUUAAAUUUUAUGGUCAUGUCGUCUACUUAUGGACGGCGAAUUGGUAGGACCUCUUGUUUUCUCUAACUAUCUUAACGACCAAGACAAUUUAAAUUUCUUGGGGAACGUUUUAAAUGUUUUGCUGGAGAAGUGCGUCUCAAUAUUUGAUUUUUACAAGAUGGAGCACUUCCACAUUACGCAAAUGUCGUACGUCGGUGGUUAAACAGACAUUUUUCCGACAGAUGGAUAGGUCGUGGUGGACGAGUUGGUUGGCCUGCGCGGUCGCUGGAUUUAAAUCCGUCCUAUUAACAUCUAAGCAGAAGAAUUGUUAGCAAGAGUGACAAAAACAAUUCGUAACAAUCCUGCAAUGGUCAGACACGCAAUAUCAUCUCUGGUACCUAAUGGGGGUCUUCACCUUGAACAAUUACUUUGAAGUUCAACAGAAUAAAAUUUAUCAUUUUUCAAAAA